CCUACGGGAGGCAGCAGUGGGGAAUAUUGGUCAAUGGGCGCGAGCCUGACCCAGCCACGUAGCGUGAAGGAUGACUGCCCUAUGGGUUGUAAACUUCUUUUAUAGAGGAAUAAAAUGAUCCACGUGUGUGAUUUUGUAUGUACCUUAUGAAUAAGGAUCGGCUAACUUCGUUCCAGCAGCCCCGGUAAUACGGAGGUUCAGUGCGUUAUCCGGAUUUAUUGGGUGUAAAGGGAGUGUAGGUGGGUUGUUAAGUCAGUUGUGAAAGUUUGCGGCUCAACCGUAGAAUUGCAGUUGAAACUGGCAGUCUUGAGUACAGGAGAGGUAGGCGGAAUUCGUGGUGUAGCGGUGAAAUGCUUAGAUAUAACGAAGAACACCGAUUGCGAAGGCAG
rnacentral:rRNA from 1 species